rnacentral:rRNA from 1 species
UACUAGGGGUGCAAGCGUUGUCCGGAAUCAUUGGGCGUAAAGGGUGCGUAGGCGUCCAGGAAAGUUAUUUGUUAAAGCCUCCGGCUUAACCGGAGAAAUGCAAGUAAAACUAUCUGGAUAGAGUUUAAGAGAGGAAAAUGGAAUUCCUGGUGUAGCGGUGACAUGCGUAGAUAUCAGGAGGAACAUCAAUGGCGAAGGCAGUUUUCUGGCUUAAAACUGACGCUGAGGCACGAAAGCGUGGGGAGCAAACAGGAUUAGAUACCCCCGUA